UAAAACAAAGCUAUUGCAUCUAUUCAUUAGCUAAUUAUUGGUCUUACCUUAUAUUUUUUUAACAAUUCAAGAUAACGUCAUGUGACAUAUAUAUAUCAAAUUUUAAAGUGUGGAUCCGGAUCCAUAAUUCAAAUACCUGUAAAAAAUAUAAUUUUUGGAUAAGUAACGGGUACAAAUUAAUAUGGAUAUAUUAUGACUAAAAAAUAAAAAUAUUCGAAGUAUCUGAAAAUUCAAAAAUACUAAAACACGAAAAAUAUCUGAAAACACUAACAAAUACCUGAAAAAUAUGCAAAUACCAAAAAAAAAAACCCAAAAGUUUACCAUAAAUCUUACUUGAGGAACCUAAUACCCAAAAUAUACUUUUUAAAAUUUGAAUUUUUACCAGAAAAUCAAAACUAUAAUCGGAAACCUGAAUCCAAAACUUGAAAAGUAUUCAUAAUACCGAAAAACACAUUCGAAAUAAUGAAAACAUAUAUGGAAUACCC
rnacentral:lncRNA from 1 species